rnacentral:rRNA from 1 species
GACGAACGCUGGCGGCGUGCCUAAUACAUGCAAGUUGAGCGAUGAAGAUUGGUGCUUGCACCAAUUUGAAGAGCAGCGAACGGGUGAGUAACGCGUGGGGAAUCUGCCUUUGAGCGGGGGACAACAUUUGGAAACGAAUGCUAAUACCGCAUAAUAACUUUAAACAUAAGUUUUAAGUUUGAAAGAUGCAAUUGCAUCACUCAAAGAUGAUCCCGCGUUGUAUUAGCUAGUUGGUGAGGUAAAGGCUCACCAAGGCGAUGAUACAUAGCCGACCUGAGAGGGUGAUCGGCCACAUUGGGACUGAGACACGGCCCAAACUCCUACGGGAGGCAGCAGUAGGGAAUCUUCGGCAAUGGACGAAAGUCUGACCGAACAACGCCGCGUGAGUGAAGAAGGUUUUCGGAUCGUAAAACUCGGUUGGUAGAGAAGAACGUUGGUGAGAGUGGAAAGCUCAUCAAGUGACGGUAACUACCCAGAAAGGGACGGCUAACUACGUG